UGCACUGUUGUUGUCCCCGCUUUUAAAUCAAUUAUAACACGAUUUUAUCAUUAAAUAUUGGAGAAUGGAUUUGAGAUUUCAUGGAGUGAUUUUGGGAGGAUACAUUUGUCUAGUUUAGCCCUGAAGAUGGAAAAAUACAUUUCCGAAACGUCGGCGAA